UACGGGGGAGCAAGCGUUGUUCGGAUUUACUGGGCGUAAAGGGCGCGUAGGCGGUCGUGACAAGUCACUUGUGAAAUCUCCGGGCUUAACCCGGAAAGGUCAGCCGAUACUGCGGGCUAGAGUGCAGAAGGGGCGAACUGGAAUUCUCGGUGUAGCGGUGGAAAUGCGUAGGAUAAUCGAGAGGAACACCUGCGGCGAAGGCGGGUUGCUGGGCUGACACGUGACGCUGGAGGCGCGAAAGCUAGGGGAGCGAACGGG
rnacentral:rRNA from 1 species